AGCGUAGACGGAUGGACAAGUCUGAUGUGAAAGGCUGGGGCUCAACCCCGGGACUGCAUUGGAAACUGCCCGUCUUGAGUGCCGGAGAGGUAAGUGGAAUUCCCAGUGUAGCGGUGAAAUGCGUAGAGAUUGGGAGGAACACCAGUGGCGAAGGCGACUUACUGGGCCGUAACUGACGUUGAAGCGCGAAAGCGUGGGGAGCGAACA
rnacentral:rRNA from 1 species